UCCCUUGACGGUAUCUAACCAGAAAGCCACGGCUAACUACGUGCCAGCAGCCGCGGUAAUACGUAGGUGGCAAGCGUUGUCCGGAUUUAUUGGGCGUAAAGCGAGCGCAGGCGGUUUCUUAAGUCUGAUGUGAAAGCCCCCGGCUUAACCGGGGAGGGUCAUUGGAAACUGAGAGACUUGAAUGCAGGAGAGGUAAGUGGAAUUCCACGUGUAGCGGUGAAAUGCGUAGAUAUGUGGAGGAACACCAGUGGCGAAGGCGGCUUACUGGCCUGUAAUUGACGCUGAGGCUCGAAAGCGUGGGGAGCAAACAGGAUUAGAUACCCUGGUAGUCCACGCCGUAAACGAUGAGUGCUAAGUGUUAGGGGGUUUCCGCCCCUUAGUGCUGCAGCUAACGCAUUAAGCACUCCGCCUGGGGAGUACGACCGCAAGGUUGAAACUCAAAGGAAUUGACGGGGGCCCGCACAAGUGGUGGAGCAUGUGGUUUAAUUCGAAGCAACGCGAAGAACCUUACCAGGUCUUGACAUCCUUUGACCACUCUGGAGACAGAGCUUUCCCUUCGGGGACAAAGUGACAGGUGGUGCAUGGUUGUCGUCAGCUCGUGUCGUGAGAUGUUGGGUUAAGUCCCGCAACGAGCGCAACCCUUGAUUUUAGUUGCCAGCAUUUAGUUGGGCACUCUAAAGUGACUGCCGGUGCAAGCCGGAGGAAGGUGGGGAUGACGUCAAAUCAUCAUGCCCCUUAUGACCUGGGCUACACACGUGCUACAAUGGAUAAUACAAAGGGUUGCCAAACCGCGAGGUCGAGCUAAUCCCAUAAAAUUAUUCUCAGUUCGGAUUGUAGGCUGCAACUCGCCUACAUGAAGCCGGAAUCACUAGUAAUCGUGGAUCAGCAUGCCACGGUGAAUACGUUCCCGGGCCUUGUACACACCGCCCGUCACACCACGAGAGUUUGUAACACCCGAAGUCGGUAGGGUAACCUUUAUGGAGCCAGCCGCCGAAGGUGGGACAGAUAAUUGGGGUGAAGUCGUAACAAGGUAGCCGUAUCGGAAGGUGCGGCUGGAUCACCUCCUUUCUAAGGAA
rnacentral:rRNA from 1 species